rnacentral:rRNA from 1 species
UGGGGAAUUUUGGACAAUGGGCGCAAGCCUGAUCCAGCCAUGCCGCGUGCGGGAAGAAGGCCUUCGGGUUGUAAACCGCUUUUGUCAGGGAAGAAACGGUGAGAGCUAAUAUCUCUCGCUAAUGACGGUACCUGAAGAAUAAGCACCGGCUAACUACGUGCCAGCAGCCGCGGUAAUACGUAGGGUGCAAGCGUUAAUCGGAAUUACUGGGCGUAAAGCGUGCGCAGGCGGUUAUGUAAGACAGAUGUGAAAUCCCCGGGCUCAACCUGGGACCUGCAUUUGUGACUGCAUAGCGAGAGUACGGCAGAGGGGAAUGGAAUUCCGCGUGUAGCAGUGAAAUGCGUAGAUAUGCGGAGGAACACCGAUGGCGAAGGCAAUCCCCUGGGCCUGUACUGACGCUCAUGCACGAAAGCGUGAGGAGCAAACA